UCCUAACUAAGAUACAAGACGCAAGAUUAGUCAGCGAAAAAUACGACAUAGUAGUAGCAAAGAUAGAGAACUGGGACACAAAAAGAGCAAUCAUGAAACAGAAGAACUAAUUAAAAGGAUCAAAAACGUUUAUUGAAGACGAUUACACCAAACAAGAGAGCGAGAUACAGAAGAAAAUAAGAGGAAUAGCAGCAGCAGAAAAAGGGAAAGGAGUCGAGGCAAAAAUAGGGUACAAAAAGAAGAUAUGGGCAGGAGAAGUCUGGCAUUGGGACACUAAAUUAGACAAAUUAGUGAAAGCACCGUCGCACCCCAAAGAAAACCCAAAAAACUAACAGAGGAAGAAACCACACACCGGAAAACAAUGACGACGUAUGCAAAGCUCAUGGAUGACCCGAUAGGAAUUACGAAGAGAAAGAAAAACCCGAAAAUUAGAAUAGGAACAUGGAAUGUUCGAGGAACAUAUAGCGAAGGAAAACUCAAACAAAUAGUUCAAGAAUUACAAAGGUAUAAUAUAGAUGUAGCAGCUAUACAAGAGACGAAACAAAAAGGCAAAUUCCUCACUGAAAUAGAUAACUACAUAUUAUUUAAUAGCGGAAUUGACAACAGAGAACUAGGAACAGGAUUCAUGGUGAAGAAGAGCCUGAAAGGAGCAGUAAUUACCUUCAAACCGAUCUUAGAAAGAAUGAGCUAUAUAAGAUUGAGAAGUAAGUACAGGAAAAUAAGCCUACUGAAUACACAUGCAUCGACUGAGGAGAAAGAUCUAGAAGUAAAAACAGAAUAUUACGAAGAACUAGAAAGAGAAUAUGUGAAAAUACCAAAGCAUGACAUUAAAAUGGUUAUAGGAGACGCCAACGCAAUGAUAGGUAAAGAGAAUUGCUACAGGCCAACAAUCGGGAAAGAAAGCAAACACCAAAAAACGAAUCAAAAUGGAGAAAAACUGAUAGAGUUUGCAGAAGAAAAUAAAAUGGUAGUCAAAAGCACCUUCUUUGCGCAGAAAGAGAUCUACAAAGACACAUGGAUGUCGCCUGACGGAAAAACGGUCAACCAAAUAGACCACAUACUGGUAGAAAGGAGAGAUGCCCAACUAAUAACCAGAUUAAGAAGCUACAGGGGAGCAGAAGCGAAUUCAGACCACUUUCUAGUAAGAGCAGACCUCAAACAAGAAAUACCGAAGAAAAAAGAAGGAAAGAAGACGCAACGUGAUAUAAAUGUAAACAAACUUAAGAAAGCUGAAGUACAACAGGAAUACGAACAAAAGAUGAAUGAGAGAAUAAGAUCAACAGAGCAAGACAUACCUAUAGAAGAGAGGUGGGAAGAACUACAAGAGAACAUAUGGAAGACCUCGGAAGAAGUACUAGGGUUCGUCAAAAAAGACAACAAAAAUAGAAACGAAUGGUUUGACGAGGAAUGUAGAAAAGCAAUAGAAGCGGGGAGGUCAGCCAGACAGAAAUAUCUAAAAUCAAAAAAUGAGAAGAACCAAAAAGAUUACCAAGAAAAAAGGAAAGAGUACAAGAAGAUAUGCAGAAAUAAGAAACGAGCAAAAAUGGAAGAACAAAUACGACAAAUAGAAGAAAACUUCAACAAGAAUGAAAUAAGGAACUUCUACCAGGACGUGAAAAAAGAGAAAAGAGGCUAUCAACCACGAGUAAUAUAUAGUAAAGACAAGGACGGCAACCUGAUAGGAGACGAACAAGCAAGAAUAAAACGAUGGGCAGAAUACUUUGAAGAGCUGCUAAAUGAACAGGAUACACAGCAAGAUACGAACGAAAGAGUGAACGACUCGGAUGACCCAGAUGAAACAAUAGAAAUUGACGAAGGAGAGAUCAGAGAAACACUAAGGCAGAUGAAAAACAACAAAAGUCCUGGUAGAAACGGAAUAAAGGGCGAGAUGCUAAAGUACGGAGGAGAAGCAGUAGCAUCAGAGAUACAUCGAUUAGUGCUAGAAUGUUGGAAGGAAGGAAAAAUGCCAGAACAAUGGAGUGAAGCAGUACUUUGCCCGAUAUUUAAAAAAGGAGAUAUUACGAAAUGCGAAAAUUAUCGCGGAAUAGCGCUGCUAGACGUAACGUAUAAGGUAAUGGCCACUUGCAUCAACCGAAGACUAAAGCAGCAUAUGGAAAAAAUAGUAGGAGAAUAUCAAGCAGGGUUUAGGAAAAAUAGAUCUACUGCAGACCAGAUAUUUAUAUUGAAGCAACUACAAGAAGUACAUUACGAACAGGGAAUCAACUUAUAUCUGCUGUUCAUAGACUUUAAAAAAGCCUAUGACACGGUUAACAGGAAAGAACUGCUAGAAGCCAUGCAAGAACUGGGAGUCCCAAGAAAACUAAUAAAACUGACAAAGAUGACCCUGCAGAGCACCAGAAACAAAGUCAGGAUAAAUGGCCUGUUGUCAGAACCAUUCCAAGUAAGAACAGGACUCCGGCAAGGAGAUCCAAUAUCAACUACCCUGUUCAAUCUAGAACUCGAGGCAAUAUUAAGGAGAAGUGGCAUCCACAGAACGAGCACGAUAUACGAAAAAAGACACCAAAAUAUAGCCUUUGCAGAUGACGUGACAUGUAUAACGAGAACAGAAGCAGAAAUGAAGAAAAUGACAAAAAAUCUAAUCAGAGAAGCGAAACGAAUGGGUUUAGCGAUCAACCAAGAGAAAACGAAGUUUAUGAGAAUCGAAACAAAACAAACCCCAGCAAAACCACUGAAAGUAACUACAGAAGAAGGAACAACAUACGAAUUCGAAGAAGUAAAUAGGUUCAAAUAUCUAGGAGUAGUAAUUACAAACAAAAACGAAAUGAACGAAGAGAUAGAAGAACGGAUCGCGAAAGCAAACAAGAGUGUAGGAAGAUUAAACAGAUUUCUGAGGAGUAAGAAUGUAACACGACGAACAAAGAAACAAGUAUAUAAGACAAUAGUAAGACCUACAGUCCUGUACGCUAGUGAAACAUGGACGGUCACGAACGAAAAGGAACAGAAGUUGGAAGCAUGGGAACGCAAGAUACUACGAAAUAUAUAUGGAGGUAUAAAAGAACUAGACCAACGGAGAAGAAGAACAAACCGAGAGAUCGAGGAAAUAUACGGAGAACCAACAAUCACGAAGAUAAUCAGAGCACAGAGACUAAGAUGGCUAGGCCACGUGGAAAGAGCACCAGAGGAAAGGACAAUAGGACAAUUGGGAAAGUAUUAGACCGCCUAAAAGGAGGAAAGAAAAAGAGAGGAAGGCCAAAACUGAAGUGGAACUUAGGCAUUGAAGAUUGGAGAUCCAAAGCAGCCGACAGGAACAAAUGGAAAAUUAUUGUUAAAAAAGCCCAGGGCCUUUAAGGCCUGCAGAGCUGAAUUAUAUAUAUAUCAAUACAGUGUAUAUUUUGCAACCAAUCCGAGAGCAGCAUCCUGGCCGUGAGCAACUCCAUGAACUCC